AUCUUCUCUGUUAGAUUAGAAUUACUUGCAUCUGCUGAUAUUGCUAUUGACAGGACCGCGAUGGGUUUGUCAUGGGUGAAGGAGCUGGAGUUCUGCUUCUGGAAGAACUUGAGCACGGAAAGAAAAGGGGUGCAACAAUCUAUGCUGAAUUUCUCAGUGGAAGUUUCACUUCUGAUGUUCAUCACGUGACAGAACCUCAUCUUGAAGGACACAAAGGUCAUUGUGGGAUCUAAAAAGGAGCAACUGCACAUUAAGAUCAUUACUAUGCAUUUCUUCUAAUUGCUAUCUUGGUUUAGCUGGUGUCGCAUAUAAUAAGGGUGAAAUAUGUGUGGCUGGCUCACGAGUGUUUGUCCAGGAAGGAAUUUAUGACAAGUUUGUUGAGAAAGUGGUCGCAAAGGCGAAGGCAAAGGUAGUUGAUGACCCUUUUGAUCCAAAUGUUCAACAGGGACCCCAAGCUAGCAAAAACCAGUAUGAGAAGAUACUUUCAUAGAGCAUGGGAAGAGGGAGGGUGCUAUAUUGGUAACUGGUGGUAAGCCAUUGGACAGAAAAGACUAUUUCAUCCAGCCAACUAUAUUUACAGAUGUCCUGGAUGACAUGCUAAUUGCAAAAGAUUAAAUUUUUGGACCUGUUAUGCUUAUACUGAAAUUCAAAAAGAAGGGCUUUGGAAUCAGCAAGCCAAAAUGGCCGCUCUUGCUCUCCUUAGGAAAAGACAGAGAAUAGCUGGAGCCUGGAGGAAGCCAGAGGUCGAGGUGUUCCUAAAGGCUAUGCAAAAGCAGAUUCACUCGGUUGGAAAGCGACAAAGCGUAGCUUAUUUUCUAAAAAAUCAUCGGGGCCUCAAGUUAGAGAGAAAUUCACGUUUCCAAAUGAGAAAUAAUCCCGAUAGGUACCUAGAUAUCUAAGUUGUCUACUAGAGCAAUCAAUUUUCUUUUUAAAUUUUCGUCAAAUCCUCUUUCACCCUUCAUUGAACCCAAAAGUUUCUCCCGUUUUGUGGUAGCCAUUUAUGGUUUAGAACUUUAAAUAGAUGCUUAUGACUCAUUUGUAGUAACACUUAAGAAUAGACCAUUUGUAGCAAUUGUUUUAAGCUUCUUAUAACUCAUUUGGAAGAUGAAACAAUUGCUACAAAAUCUUAUUAGCAUGCAUGUUUAGCUAAUAUUUUGACAAACGUAUUCUUUAUGGUGAAAUAAUUGCUACACCUUGAUUUAAAUGAUUGAGUAAUGUUUGAUUU